rnacentral:rRNA from 1 species
GACGGAGGGUGCAAACGUUGCUCGGAAUCACUGGGCGUAAAGGGUGCGUAGGCGGGUCUUUAAGUCAGGGGUGAAAUCCUGGAGCUCAACUCCAGAACUGCCUUUGAUACUGAAGAUCUUGAGUUCGGGAGAGGUGAGUGGAACUGCGAGUGUAGAGGUGAAAUUCGUAGAUAUUCGCAAGAACACCAGUGGCGAAGGCGGCUCACUGGCCCGAUACUGACGCUGAGGCACGGAAAGCGUGGGGAGCAAACAGG